UACGUAGGGGGCUAGCGUUGUCCGGAUUUAUUGGGCGAAAGAGCGUGUAGGCGGCCAGGUAGGUCUGCUGUGAAAACUCGAGGCUCAACCUCGAGACGUCGGCGGAAACCAUCUGGCUAGAGUCCGGAAGAGGAGAGUGGAAUUCCUGGUGUAGCGGUGAAAUGCGCAGAUAUCAGGAAGAACACCCGUGGCGAAGGCGGCUCUCUGGGACGGUACUGACGCUGAGACG
rnacentral:rRNA from 1 species